AGCAGCCGCGGUAAUUCCAGCUCCAAUAGCGUAUAUUAAAGUUGCUGCAGUUAAAAAGCUCGUAGUUGAAUUUCGGGAUCAAUAUGUUGGUCGUGCCUCGGUACGUACUAGCUUAUUGGUUUCUCCCUUCUGACGAACCAUGAUGUCAUUUAUUUGGUGUUAUGAGGAAUCAGGACUGUUACUUUGAAAAAUUAGAGUGUUUAAAGCAGGCUCACGCUUGAAUACAUUAGCAUGGAAUAAUGAAAUAGGACGUUUGAUUCUAUUUUGUUGGUUUCUAGGAUCGACGUAAUGAUUAAUAGGGAUAGUUGGGGGCAUUAGUAUUCAAUUGUCAGAGGUGAAAUUCUUGGAUUUAUUGAAGACUAACUACUGCGAAAGCAUUUGCCAAGGAUGUUUUCAUUAAUCAAGAACGAAAGUUAGGGGAUCGAAGACGAUCAGAUACCGUCGUAGUCUUAACCAUAAACUAUGCCGACUAGGGAUCGGAUGAUGUUAAUUUUAAUGA
rnacentral:rRNA from 1 species